rnacentral:rRNA from 1 species
UACGUAGGGUGCAAGCGUUGUCCGGAAUUAUUGGGCGUAAAGAGCUCGUAGGCGGUCUGUUACGUCGGCUGUGAAAACCUGGGGCUCAACCCCGGGCCUGCAGCCGAUACGGGCAGACUAGGAUUCGGUAGGGGAGACUGGAAUUCCUGGUGUAGCGGUGAAAUGCGCAGAUAUCAGGAGGAACACCGGUGGCGAAGGCGGGUCUCUGGGCCGAUAUUGACGCUGAGGAGCGAAAGCGUGGGGAGCGAACAGG